GAGGGUAUAGCUCAGUGGUAGAGCACAUGCUUAGCAUGCUCGAGGUCCUGGGUUCAAUUCCCCAGUAUCUCCA
rnacentral:tRNA from 1 species